AUGAUGUUUUAUUCACGUGUGAGUCUCGGGGCGGUGGGCAGCACAGACAGCACUCAAGAAACAUCUGCUGACUGGAGACAAGUUUGUUUCACAACCACCCCGGGAAGGGGAGAAUGGGGGCUGGGGGCAGGGGCUGGGGGCAGGGGCCGGGGGGCCUAUCCUCCAGAGGGAGAAUCCAAGGUUGAGAAAGAGAAAGUGACUUCUCUGAGGACAGACACAGGUGCAGACAGACUAACGUCACAAUCAGAGGAUCCCCUGGGAAGCAGCAGUGCGGGACGGCAGGGGAAGUGGGUGGCUGCCCUGGACCCCAGCCCAGCAUUAGUUUUAGAACCCAGGGUAUCACAGCUUCAGCUCUGCCUCCUUGCUGGCGAGCAGCUCCACCGUCUCCGUCCGUCCUCCUCAGGGUCCUCCCUCCCUCCCUUUCUCAGGCCAGCUCCCAAGCCGUUGAAGGGAAUCUGGCAACCCUUCAGGCUGGGUGAGGUGGCCAACAGGACUUCUGCAGCCCCAGGAGGGAGGAGGGGGAGUCGUGGGGGGAUUCUUGAAGAGUUCAGCAGGGGUGGACACUGGGUAAGAUGCUCACAUCCCGUGUCAGAGUGCCUGGGUUUAGCUCCCAACUCCAGCUUCCUGCUAAUGCAGACAGGGGAGGCAGCAGUCGUGACUCACACACACAGCCGGAUGCCUGUCACCCAUGCUGGAGACCUGGAUGGAGUCCUAGCUCCUGGCUUUGACCUUGGCCCAGCCUGGCCAUGGUGGGAGUUUAGGGAUGGGCCAGUAGAUGGGAACACGUAUACACACACUCUCUCUCUCUCUUUCUCUCUCUGCCUGUCAAAUAAUUUUUUUAAUUCAGUUCGGUGUCAGCCAGGGCUGAGCAGAAAGCUCUCUCUGGGUAAAGCCCAGACACAUACACUGAAGCAAGGCUCAGAACAGGAACACACUGUCCCACUGCAACCCUGCAAACUUUCACUUCUGUUGUUUCAUCUACUCCUCAAAGAGCCCGGGGCAGGGGGGCGCAGUGCUGUGGCACAGUGGGUUAAAGCUCUAGACUUUAGCGCCAGCAUCCCAUAUGGGCACAGGUUCAAGUCCUGGCUGCUCCACUUCCGAUCCAGCUCCCCAAGAAAGCAGCGGAGCAUGGCCCAAGUGCUUGUGAGCUCAGGGACCCAAGCUCCUGGCUUCUGGCUUCAGAUCGGCACAGUUCCAUCCCUGGUCAUUGCGGCCAUUUGGGGAGUGAACCAGCGGGUGGAAGACCUCUCUCUCUCUCCCUCUGCCUCUACCUCUCUCUGUAACUCUUUCAAAUAA
rnacentral:lncRNA from 1 species